rnacentral:rRNA from 1 species
UACGUAGGGUGCGAGCGUUGUCCGGAAUUAUUGGGCGUAAAGGGCUCGUAGGCGGUUUGUCGCGUCGGGCGUGAAAACGCCGUGCUUAACACGGCGCUUGCUUUCGAUACGGGCAGACUAGAGGUAUGCAGGGGAGAACGGAAUUCCUGGUGUAGCGGUGAAAUGCGCAGAUAUCAGGAGGAACACCGAUGGCGAAGGCAGGUCACUGGGCCGCAACUGACGCUGAGGAGCGAAAGCGUGGGGAGCGAACAGG